CCUACGGGGGUCAGCAGUGAGGAAUAUUGGUCAAUGGGCUUACGCCUGAACCAGCCAAGUCGCGUGAGGGAAGACUGCCCUAUGGGUUGUAAACCUCUUUUGUCAGGGAGCAACGCCGUCUACGUGUAGCCGGACUGAGAGUACCUGAAGAAAAAGCAUCGGCUAACUCCGUGCCAGCAGCCGCGGUAAUACGGAGGAUGCGAGCGUUAUCCGGAUUUAUUGGGUUUAAAGGGUGGGUAGGCGGAAUGCCAAGUCAGCGGUAAAAUCGCGGGGCUCAACCUCGCUCCGCCGUUGAAACUGGCGUUUUUGAGUGGGCGAGAAGUAUGCGGAUGCGUGGUGUAGCGGUGAAAUGCAUAGAUAUCACGAGGAACCCCGAUUGCGAAGGCAGCCUGCCGGGGUGCGACUGACGCUGAGGCUCGAAGGUGCGGGUAUCAAACAGGAUUAGAUACCCCUGUAGUC
rnacentral:rRNA from 1 species